rnacentral:rRNA from 1 species
UAGUCUGCGCCGUAAACGAUGAUAGCUGGGUGUAGUUGAGCAAUCGACUGUGCCUGAGGGAAACCAUUAAGCUAUCCGCCUGGGGAGUACGCCCGCAAGGGUGAAACUCAAAGGAAUUGACGGGGGCCCGCACAAGCGGUGGAACAUGUGGUUUAAUUCGAUGAUACGCGAGGAACCUUACCCGGGCUUAAAUGGGGAUUGCAUAAGUUAGAAAUAGCUUUUUCCGCAAGGACUGUCCUCAAGGUGCUGCAUAGUUGUCGUCAGCUCGUGCCGUGAGGUGUCGGGUUAAGUCCCAUAACGAGCGCAACCCCUGUCAUCAGUUGCCAUCAGGUAAUGCUGGGGACUCUGAUGAGACUGCCGCCGCAAGGCGUGAGGAAGGCGGGGAUGACGUCAAAUCAGCACGGGCCCUUACGUCCGGGGGCUACACACGUGUUACAAUGGACGGUACAGCGCGUCCUAAUAGCGAUA